rnacentral:misc_RNA from 1 species
UCUCUGCUUACGCAGGCAGUCUCUUUAGAGUUCUACAUUUCUGCAGCGUUCUCGUAUAUGUCAAGCCUUGGUAAGGUUCUUCGCGUUGCAUCGAAUUAAUCCGCAUGCUCCGCCGCUUGUGCGGGCCCCCGUCAAUUCCUUUGAGUUUUAGCCUUGCGGCCGUACUCCCCAGGCGGGGAACUUAAUGCGUUAGCUGCGACACGGAAGCCGUGGAAUGGCCCCCACAUCUAGUUCCCAACGUUUACGGCGUGGACUAC